rnacentral:rRNA from 1 species
UACGUAGGGCGCAAGCGUUAUCCGGAAUUAUUGGGCGUAAAGGGCUCGUAGGCGGUUUGUCGCGUCGGGAGUGAAAUCCACUGGCUUAACUGGUGGCUUGCUUUCGAUACGGGCAGACUGGAGGUAUGCAGGGGAGACUGGAAUUCCUGGUGUAGCGGUGGAAUGCGCAGAUAUCAGGAGGAACACCGGUGGCGAAGGCGGGUCUCUGGGCAGUAACUGACGCUGAGGAGCGAAAGCGUGGGGAGCGAACAGG